UACGUAGGGUGCGAGCGUUUAAUCGGAAUUACUGGGCGUAAAGCGUGCGCAGGCGGUUCGUUAUGUCCGAUGUGAAAGCCCCGAGCUCAACUUGGGAAUGGCAUUGGAAACUGGCGGGCUGGAGUGUGGCAGAGGGGGGGUGGAAUUCCACGUGUAGCAGUGAAAUGCGUAGAGAUGUGGAGGAACACCGAUGGCGAAGGCAGCCCCC
rnacentral:rRNA from 1 species